rnacentral:rRNA from 1 species
AUGGUCAAUGCGGUGGGAUCUACAAAUGGUUACACAACCGAUAAAACCCUGGUGUGGAAUGUACAUGGACUAAAUGCGUUGGUUAGGCGUAAUGCGGUUUGCCAAGUGGUUAGGGCUGCCGGUCCGACCAUUGUGUGUGCCCAGGAAACCAAAGUGCAACUAGUCACGGACGCCCUUGUAAAGCAAUGCUUUGGUAAUAGAUUCGAGAAGUACUACUACUAGCCGGCAGAGGGGACCUGUGGUGGCAUCAUAUUGGCAUGGGAUGCCAUCAUGGUUAUGUUGUCAAACCCACAUCACACAACGAACACUGUCACGGCCCUGGUGCAAUUGGAAGGGGCACCACACUGGUGGGUCACUGGGGUCUAUGGCCCACAGGUGGAUGUGGAAAAGAUUUAG